rnacentral:rRNA from 1 species
CAGUCGCCGCGGUAAUACAGAGGGUGCGAGCGUUAAUCGGAUUUACUGGGCGUAAAGCGUGCGUAGGCGGCUUUUUAAGUCGGAUGUGAAAUCCCUGAGCUUAACUUAGGAAUUGCAUUCGAUACUGGGAAGCUAGAGUAUGGGAGAGGAUGGUAGAAUUCCAGGUGUAGCGGUGAAAUGCGUAGAGAUCUGGAGGAAUACCGAUGGCGAAGGCAGCCAUUUGGCCUAAUACUGACGCUGAGGUACGAAAGCAUGGGGAGCAAACAGGAUUAGAUACCCCCGUAGUCCCUGUCUCUUAUAC